AGCAGCCGCGGUAAUUCCAGCUCCAAUAGCGUAUAUUAAAGUUGCUGCAGUUAAAAAGCUCGUAGUUGAAUUUCGGGACUAAUAUGUUGGUCGUGCCUCGGUACGUACUGAUAUUUUUGGUUUCCUCCCUUCUGACGAACCUUGAUGUCAUUAAUUUGGUGUCUUGGGAAAUCAGGACUGUUACUUUGAAAAAAUUAGAGUGUUUAAAGCAGGCUCACGCUUGAAUACAUUAGCAUGGAAUAAUGAAAUAGGACGUUUGAUUCUAUUUUGUUGGUUUCUAGGAUCGACGUAAUGAUUAAUAGGGAUAGUUGGGGGCAUUAGUAUUCAAUUGUCAGAGGUGAAAUUCUUGGAUUUAUUGAAGACUAACUACUGCGAAAGCAUUUGCCAAGGAUGUUUUCAUUAAUCAAGAACGAAAGUUAGGGGAUCGAAGACGAUCAGAUACCGUCGUAGUCUUAACCAUAAACUAUGCCGACUAGGGAUCGGAUGAUGUUAAUUUUUAAUGACUCAUUCGGCGCCUUAC
rnacentral:rRNA from 1 species